AAUAGAUACCCAGGUAGUCCACGCCGUAAACGAUGAGUGCUAAGUGUUAGAGGGUUUCCGCCCUUUAGUGCUGCAGCUAACGCAUUAAGCACUCCGCCUGGGGAGUACGGCCGCAAGGCUGAAACUCAAAGGAAUUGACGGGGGCCCGCACAAGCGGUGGAGCAUGUGGUUUAAUUCGAAGCAACGCGAAGAACCUUACCAGGUCUUGACAUCCUCUGCCAACCCUAGAGAUAGGGCGUUCCCCUUCGGGGGACAGAGUGACAGGUGGUGCAUGGUUGUCGUCAGCUCGUGUCGUGAGAUGUUGGGUUAAGUCCCGCAACGAGCGCAACCCUUGAUCUUAGUUGCCAGCAUUCAGUUGGGCACUCUAAGGUGACUGCCGGCGACAAACCGGAGGAAGGUGGGGAUGACGUCAAAUCAUCAUGCCCCUUAUGACCUGGGCUACACACGUGCUACAAUGGAUGGUACAAAGAGCUGCGAACCCGCGAGGGUAAGCGAAUCUCAUAAAGCCAUUCUCAGUUCGGAUUGU
rnacentral:rRNA from 1 species